rnacentral:rRNA from 1 species
GAUGAACGCUGGCGGCGUGCCUAAUACAUGCAAGUCGAGCGAACGGACGAGAAGCUUGCUUCUCUGAUGUUAGCGGCGGACGGGUGAGUAACACGUGUAUAACCUACCUAUAAGACUGGGAUAACUUCGGGAAACCGGAGCUAAUACCGUAUAAUAUUUUGAACCGCAUGGUUCAAAAGUGAAAGACGGUCUUGCUGUCACGUAUAGAUGGAUCCGCGCUGCAUUAGCUAGUUGGUAAGGUAACGGCUUACCAAGGCAACGAUGCAUAGCCGACCUGAGAGGCUGAUCGGCCACACUGGAACUGAGACACGGUCCAGACUACUACGGGACGCAGCAGUAGGGUAUCUUCCGCAAUGGGCGAAAGCCUGACGGAGCAACGCCGCGUGAGUGAUGAAGGUCUUCCGAUCGUAAAACUCUGUUAUUAGGGAAGAACAUAUGUGUAAGUAAAUGUGCACAUAUUGACGGUAACUAAUCAGAAAGCCACGGCUAACUACGUG